rnacentral:RNase_P_RNA from 2 species
UCAGAAGAUUGGAUGGCUGCGGGCCUUUGGCGCGAGGAAAGUCCGGGCUUCAUAAGGAAACGGCGCCGGCUAACGGCCGGGCAGGGCGACCUGACGGAAAGUGCAGCAGAGAGAAGGUUUCCUGUGAUUUCGAUUANAGGUAAAAGUGAAAGGGUGCGGUAAGAGCGCACCGCGUAUUUGGUAACAAAUAUGGCAUGGUAAACCCCGCCGGAAGCAAGAUCAAAUAGGGGCAGUAUAUGGUGAUCCUUACACCGCUGCCCGGGUAGAUCGCUCGAGUUUAUGAGUAAUCAUAAACCUAGAUGAAUAGUCAUCCCUCUUUUGAGGACAGAACCCGGCUUAUAGAUCUUCUGAACCU